rnacentral:rRNA from 1 species
UACGAAGGGGGCUAGCGUUGCUCGGAAUUACUGGGCGUAAAGCGCACGUAGGCGGUCUUUUAAGUCGGAGGUGAAAUCCUGGAGCUCAACUCCAGAACUGCCUUCGAUACUGGAAGACUCGAGUCCGGGAGAAGUGAGUGGAACUGCGAGUGUAGAGGUGAAAUUCGUAGAUAUUCGCAAGAACACCAGUGGCGAAGGCGGCUCACUGGCCCGGUACUGACGCUGAUGUACGAAAGCUAGGGGAGCAAACAGG